rnacentral:rRNA from 1 species
UGGCGGCGUGUUAACACAUGCAAGUCGAGGGAGAAGCCGAACUUCGGUUCGGUGGAGACCGGCGCACGGGUGAGUAGCACGUGGAUCAUCUAGCUUCGGGUCUGGGAUAACGUUCCGAAAGGGGUGCUAAUACCGGAUACGUCAGCGUUGCUGGGAAAGCUCCGGCGCCCGAAGAUGAGUCCGCGUCCCAUUAGGUAGUUGGUGAGGUAAGGGCUCACCAAGCCGAAGAUGGGUAGCUGGUCUGAGAGGAUGACCAGCCACACUGGGACUGAGACACGGCCCAGACUCCUACGGGAGGCAGCAGUGGGGAAUCUUGCGCAAUGGACGAAAGUCUGACGCAGCAACGCCGCGUGGGUGAUGAAGGCCUUCGGGUCGUAAAGCCCUGUCAGAAGGGAAGAUAAUGACGGUACCUUCAGAGGAAGCACCGGCUAACUCCGUGCCAGCAGCCGCGGUAAUACGGAGGGUGCAAACGUUGUUCGGAAUCAUUGGGCGUAAAGCGCGCGUAGGCGGCGCCGUAGGUCGGGUGUGAAAUCCCGGGGCUCAACCCCGGAACUGCGCUCGAAACCCCGGUGCUCGGGUCUCGGAGGGAGAAGUGGAAUUCCUGGUGUAGGGGUGAAAUCCGUAGAUAUCAGGAGGAACACCGGCGGCGAAGGCGACUUCUUGGCCGAAGACUGACGCUGAGGUGCGAAAGUGUGGGGAGCGAACCAGGAUUAGAUACCCUGGUAGUCCACACCGUAAACGAUGCUCACUAGCUGGCGGGUGCAUGAACCCACGCGCUGGCGCAGUUAACCGCGUUACGUGAGCCCNCUGGGGAGUACGGUCCGCAGAUUCAACCUCAAAGGAAUUGACGGGGNGCCCGCACAAGCGGUGGAGCAUGUGGUUUACUUCGCAGCAACGCGCAGACUUACUGGUUGACAUCUCCGACGACCAGAGAUGGACCGGUGCCCUUCGGGACGGAGUGACAGUGCUGCAUGGCGUCGUCAGCUUCGUGUCGUGAGAUGUUGGGU